GGUUAAGCGACUAAGCGUACACGGUGGAUGCCCUGGCAGUCAGAGGCGAUGAAGGACGUGCUAAUCUGCGAAAAGCGUCGGUAAGGUGAUAUGAACCGUUACAGCCGGCGAUGUCCGAAUGGGGAAACCCAGUGCAAUUCGUUGCACUAUCGUUAACUGAAUACAUAGGUUAACGAGGCGAACCGGGGGAACUGAAACAUCUAAGUACCCCGAGGAAAAGAAAUCAACCGAGAUUCCCCCAGUAGCGGCGAGCGAACGGGGAGCAGCCCAGAGUCUGAAUCAGCUUGUGUGUUAGUGGAACGGUCUGGAAAGUCCGACGGUACAGGGUGAUAGUCCCGUACACCAAAAUGCACAGGCUGUGAACUCGAAGAGUAGGGCGGGACACGUGGUAUCCUGUCUGAAUAUGGGGGGACCAUCCUCCAAGGCUAAAUACUCCUGACUGACCGAUAGUGAACCAGUACCGUGAGGGAAAGGCGAAAAGAACCCCGGCGAGGGGAGUGAAAAAGAACCUGAAACCGUGUACGUACAAGCAGUGGGAGCACCUUCGGGUGUGACUGCGUACCUUUUGUAUAAUGGGUCAGCGACUUAUAUUCUGUAGCAAGGUUAACCGUAUAGGGGAGCCGCAGGGAAACCGAGUCUUAACUGGGCGUUAAGUUGCAGGGUAUAGACCCGAAACCCGGUGAUCUAGCCAUGGGCAGGUUGAAGGUUGGGUAACACUAACUGGAGGACCGAACCGACUAAUGUUGAAAAAUUAGCGGAUGACUUGUGGCUGGGGGUGAAAGGCCAAUCAAACCGGGAGAUAGCUGGUUCUCCCCGAAAGCUAUUUAGGUAGCGCCUCGUGAAUUCAUCUUCGGGGGUAGAGCACUGUUUCGGCUAGGGGGUCAUCCCGACUUACCAACCCGAUGCAAACUACGAAUACCGAAGAAUGUUAUCACGGGAGACACACGGCGGGUGCUAACGUCCGUCGUGAAGAGGGAAACAACCCAGACCGCCAGCUAAGGUCCCAAAGUCAUGGUUAAGUGGGAAACGAUGUGGGAAGGCACAGACAGCCAGGAUGUUGGCUUAGAAGCAGCCAUCAUUUAAAGAAAGCGUAAUAGCUCACUGGUCGAGUCGGCCUGCGCGGAAGAUGUAACGGGGCUAAACCAUGCACCGAAGCUGCGGCAGCGACACUAUGUGUUGUUGGGUAGGGGAGCGUUCUGUAAGCCUGCGAAGGUGUGCUGUGAGGCAUGCUGGAGGUAUCAGAAGUGCGAAUGCUGACAUAAGUAACGAUAAAGCGGGUGAAAAGCCCGCUCGCCGGAAGACCAAGGGUUCCUGUCCAACGUUAAUCGGGGCAGGGUGAGUCGACCCCUAAGGCGAGGCCGAAAGGCGUAGUCGAUGGGAAACAGGUUAAUAUUCCUGUACUUGGUGUUACUGCGAAGGGGGGACGGAGAAGGCUAUGUUAGCCGGGCGACGGUUGUCCCGGUUUAAGCAUGUAGGCUGGUUGUCCAGGCAAAUCCGGAUAAUCAAGGCUGAGGUGUGAUGACGAGGCACUACGGUGCUGAAGUAACAAAUGCCCUGCUUCCAGGAAAAGCCUCUAAGCAUCAGGUAACAUUAAAUCGUACCCCAAACCGACACAGGUGGUCAGGUAGAGAAUACCAAGGCGCUUGAGAGAACUCGGGUGAAGGAACUAGGCAAAAUGGUGCCGUAACUUCGGGAGAAGGCACGCUGGUGUGUAGGUGAAGUCCCUGCGGAUGGAGCUGAGACCAGUCGAAGAUACCAGCUGGCUGCAACUGUUUAUUAAAAACACAGCACUGUGCAAACACGAAAGUGGACGUAUACGGUGUGACGCCUGCCCGGUGCCGGAAGGUUAAUUGAUGGGGUUAUCCGUAAGGAGAAGCUCUUGAUCGAAGCCCCGGUAAACGGCGGCCGUAACUAUAACGGUCCUAAGGUAGCGAAAUUCCUUGUCGGGUAAGUUCCGACCUGCACGAAUGGCGUAAUGAUGGCCAGGCUGUCUCCACCCGAGACUCAGUGAAAUUGAACUCGCUGUGAAGAUGCAGUGUACCCGCGGCAAGACGGAAAGACCCCGUGAACCUUUACUAUAGCUUGACACUGAACAUUGAGCCUUGAUGUGUAGGAUAGGUGGGAGGCUUUGAAGCGUGGACGCCAGUCUGCGUGGAGCCAACCUUGAAAUACCACCCUUUAAUGUUUGAUGUUCUAACGUUGGCCCCUUAUCGGGGUUGCGGACAGUGUCUGGUGGGUAGUUUGACUGGGGCGGUCUCCUCCCAAAGCGUAACGGAGGAGCACGAAGGUUAGCUAAUCCUGGUCGGACAUCAGGAGGUUAGUGCAAUGGCAUAAGCUAGCUUGACUGCGAGCGUGACGGCGCGAGCAGGUGCGAAAGCAGGUCAUAGUGAUCCGGUGGUUCUGAAUGGAAGGGCCAUCGCUCAACGGAUAAAAGGUACUCCGGGGAUAACAGGCUGAUACCGCCCAAGAGUUCAUAUCGACGGCGGUGUUUGGCACCUCGAUGUCGGCUCAUCACAUCCUGGGGCUGAAGUAGGUCCCAAGGGUAUGGCUGUUCGCCAUUUAAAGUGGUACGCGAGCUGGGUUUAGAACGUCGUGAGACAGUUCGGUCCCUAUCUGCCGUGGGCGCUGGAGAAUUGAGGGGGGCUGCUCCUAGUACGAGAGGACCGGAGUGGACGCAUCACUGGUGUUCGGGUUGUCAUGCCAAUGGCACUGCCCGGUAGCUAAAUGCGGAAGAGAUAAGUGCUGAAAGCAUCUAAGCACGAAACUUGCCCCGAGAUGAGUUCUCCCUGAGACUUUAAGUCUCCUGAAGGAACGUUGAAGACGACGACGUUGAUAGGCCGGGUGUGUAAGCGCAGCGAUGCGUUGAGCUAACCGGUACUAAUGAACCGUGAGGCUUAACCUU
rnacentral:rRNA from 1 species